rnacentral:tRNA from 1 species
AUUUAAAUAGUUUAUCAAAAAUGUCGGUCUGUGGAUCCGGAGAUAUAACUUAAGUUAUUUUAAAUC